GAACGCAUCUUGCGCUCCUUGGUAUUCUGAGGAGCAUGCCUGUUUGAGUGUCAUUAUAACCCCUCAAGCCCAGCUUGGUGUUGGGGCCUGCUGUUGUCGGCAGCCCUUAAAAUCAGUGGCGGUGCCAUCUGGCUCUAAGCGUAGUAAUACUUCUCGCUACAGGGUCCCGGUGGAUGCCUGCCAUCAACCCCUAAAUUUCUAUGGUUGACCUCGGAUCGGGUAGGGAUACCCGCUGAACUUAAG
rnacentral:misc_RNA from 1 species